rnacentral:lncRNA from 1 species
UGUAAACCAUGAUAAUAUAAGCAUUGACCCUAAACAUCCACGGAUCGCUCCAGGUUAUAGUAUGAAACAAGCCACAACUUAAGUUAUAUUACAAUACGUCAAAUCCCAAUCCAUAUCUUACAACUUACAACAUAAAACGCAGUGCUUACACACAAAAGAUACUCAAAAGUUCAUAAUAUCAGCAGCUCCUAGCAAGGCUUCCCAACACUCAUCCUGAUACCUUAGCUUGAUGGCUAGCCUGUGGGUCCUCGCUAAAAGUAGUCUCUUUCUUCACUGGAAAAG